CAAAAAUAGAACAACAAUUAUAGAAAACUAUUUAGUUCCUAGUGUUUGUCUUGUAAAGAUUUGAGUGAAAGUGGAUAUUCAUACAGAACUUAGAUUGCCAACGAUAUUGAUACUUAUGUUUCUCAAAAAAACUCUAAUUUAGCUUUAAAUAACAGCAUUUCAAUAUUAUUUGGCAUUUUUGUACGCUCAGCAAGACGGAAAAAACAACGUUCACCAUGUAGUUCCGGCCAUUUACAAAUAUAUUACACACCCGUCACGUUUUGAAAUUUGUUUGCAAAGUACCGGUAAAUCGGCUGUAUAUUUCAGUUUGGUAAUUUGAUUAUACUGGCAAUUUCAUGUUUGUUAUAUUCUCCGAAUGCUAAUCAUUCAGUAAUAUACAUGACUAAGUGAAAUGAAUAAUCCCAUUAUGGGCCGUAGUGACAUUCUGAGCGGACAAAAGCGUACUGACUGCCUUUUCGCGAUCCCAAAAUUUACCCAGUCUAACGAAUAAUAAUCCGUUAUUCGGUCAUAACGUUAAGGAGCAAAUCUACCUUAAAUUUUUGAAUACAGCCGUAAAUCCCUAAUUACAAUAGCCACUCCUCAAAGCAUUCAUUUGGUAUAAUUCAACUAAUUAACCAGAAGAAGUUUGAAGAAAAUUAUAAAUUAAGCCCUCUUUAUUUACCAUCUAAAUUUAGAAAUAUUUCUCUUUCUUCA
rnacentral:sRNA from 1 species